UGGGGAAUAUUGCACAAUGGGCGCAAGCCUGAUGCAGCCAUGCCGCGUGUAUGAAGAAGGCCUUCGGGUUGUAAAGUACUUUCAGCGGGGAGGAAGGCGAUAAGGUUAAUAACCUUGUCGAUUGACGUUACCCGCAGAAGAAGCACCGGCUAACUCCGUGCCAGCAGCCGCGGUAAUACGGAGGGUGCAAGCGUUAAUCGGAAUUACUGGGCGUAAAGCGCACGCAGGCGGUCUGUCAAGUCGGAUGUGAAAUCCCCGGGCUCAACCUGGGAACUGCAUUCGAAACUGGCAGGCUAGAGUCUUGUAGAGGGGGGUAGAAUUCCAGGUGUAGCGGUGAAAUGCGUAGAGAUCUGGAGGAAGACCGGUGGCGAAGGCG
rnacentral:rRNA from 1 species